rnacentral:rRNA from 1 species
GCCCUUUAUUACCCAUAAGGGGUGCAACCUGCUCAAUGGCUGGAAAUAAAUAAAAUAAAUACAGUUAAAUAGCCGCGGUAACUCUGACCGUGAUAAAGUAGCAUAAUCACUUGUCACUUAAUUAGUGAAUGGAAUGAAUGGUUAAACGAAUCCUACACUGUCUCAAUAAGAAAUCCAAUAAAAUUGGAAUUGUAGUGAAGAUACUACAUAAAGAUUGCAAGACGAAAAGACCCUAUUGAGCUUUACUGAAUACUUAUAACCAAUACAGAAAAUAAAAAAUAUAUCUCCCAUCAACUAUAAGUAAGACAGUUUGGUUGGGGCGACCACCUCUAAAAUAGUAACAGAGGAGAUCUAAAGGUUAUUUAAAUGUAUAUAAACCUAACUGAAUAGCUAUAACUUAAACAGAUAUAAAAUGUAGGACAUAAUGACCCGUUAUAUACUAAUUAAAAUAUAACGACUACAAAAAAAGUUACCAUAGGGAUAACAGGGUAAUAUUUUCUAAGAGUUCUAAUCGACGAAAAUGUUUGCCACCUCGAUGUUGAAUUGUGAUAUCCAAGGGGUGCAGCAGCUCCUAAGGGUUG